AAGCAGCCUGAAUCGCCGCAGACGCCUAAAGUUGAGGAACCUAAAGAAGCAGCAUCUCCCAAGCAAGGUAAACUAGCCGAGAAAGGAGAAAUUGAGACAAAGCAGGCUAGAAUCCAAAAAAGCCCUGAACCAGUUAUCGAAGAACCAGCUUCGCCGGAGUUACAGAAAAAGAGGGGUACAUUUGCCAUUAUUGAAGAAGCCGAACACUUUGAUGAUGU